rnacentral:rRNA from 1 species
UACGUAGGGGGCAAGCGUUGUCCGGAAUCAUUGGGCGUAAAGCGCGUGUAGGCGGUUCGGUAAGUCCGCUGUGAAAGUCAGGGGCUCAACCCUCGGAUGCCGGUGGAUACUGUCGGACUAGAGUACGGAAGAGGCGAGUGGAAUUCCUGGUGUAGCGGUGAAAUGCGCAGAUAUCAGGAGGAACACCGAUUGCGAAGGCAGCUCGCUGGGACGUUACUGACGCUGAGACGCGAAAGCGUGGGGAGCAAACAGG